CACCACAACCUAAGCCACAACCACCAAAACCAUCACCUGAACUAGUUCAAACACCUCAUACACCAAAACCACCCAAGGAGGAGCAACCCAUGGAACAACCUCCCAAGGAAGAGCAACCCAAGGAACAACCUGCCAAAGAGGAGCCACCCCAGGUACAACCUCCUAGAGAUGAGCCACCGAAGGUGAAACCUCCUAAAGAGGAGCUACCAAAGGUGCAACCUCCUAAAGAGGAGUUACCCAAAGAACAACCUCCAAAAGAGGAACUACCACAACCGCCUCAAGUAGAAGCAUAUGCUCCAGAGCCGAUUUUAGAAACCUCAUCACCUACACCAUCACCAUCACCUAAAGACAUAGGUCCCAAGGUUCCAAUUUUCCUUCCACCAAUUGUUGACGCUCCUCUACCAGAACCCUUUGG
rnacentral:lncRNA from 1 species